GCCUCCUUGCCCAGCCAUACAUCUACAGUAUGCCCAGCCUUACAACUUCCGCAUACAUCUGCUAGUCCCAAGCUGUUUCCUGGAUUUGCAUCCCAAUUUGACGAAUACUCAGCUGCCUCAUUACCCAGCCACACAUGUGCAAUAUGUCCAGGCCUCCAAACCCCUCCUAUAUCUGCUAGCCACAAGCUUCUGCCUGGAUCUGUAGUCCAAGUUGAUGGGAGCUCAUCAGCCGAGGUCCUUUCGACAACAAACGUGGCUGCUCUGCACAAGAGAAUUGCAGAACUGGAGGAUAAGCUGCAAAGCCACAAACGAAGACUGUCUGUUUGUCAGCGGCAGAAAAAUGCUGCAGUACAAGAGAAGAA
rnacentral:lncRNA from 1 species